rnacentral:rRNA from 1 species
AUUGAACGCUGGCGGCAGGCUUAACACAUGCAAGUCGAGCGGAGAUGAGGUGCUUGCACCUUAUCUUAGCGGCGGACGGGUGAGUAAUGCUUAGGAAUCUGCCUAUUAGUGGGGGACAACAUUCCGAAAGGAAUACUAAUACCGCAUACGCCCUACGGGGGAAAGCAGGGGAUCUUCGGAACUUGCGCUAAUAGAUGAGCCUAAGUCGGAUUAGCUAGUUGGUAGGGUAAAGGCCUACCAAGGCGACGAUCUGUAGCGGGUCUGAGAGGAUGAUCCGCCACACUGGGACUGAGACACGGCCCAGACUCCUACGGGAGGCAGCAGUGGGGAAUAUUGGACAAUGGGCGGAAGCCUGAUCCAGCCAUGCCGCGUGUGUGAAGAAGGCCUUUUGGUUGUAAAGCACUUUAAGCGAGGAGGAGGCUACCUGGAUUAAUACUCUAGGAUAGUGGACGUUACUCGCAGAAUAAGCACCGGCUAACUCUGUGCCAGCAGCCGCCGUAAGAC